CCAUCCGCCAGGGACUGGUCUGAGAUGCCCCUGGACGCGCUCGCCUGCGUCUUCGCCAAGCUCGGCGCCGUCGAGCUCCUCAUGGGCGCGGGCCUGGUGUGCUGCUCCUGGCUCCACGCCUCCAAGUCCCCAGAGCUGUGGCGGGCCGUGGUGAUGUCGCACCCGCCCGACACUCCGGAGUUCCUAACAGAUGACUCCUUGUGUGCCAUGGCCAAGGCGGCUGUCGACCGCUCCGGUGGGCAGCUACAGAAGUUUGUGGCGAGGGAUUUUGGGACCAAUGAGCUCCUGGAAUAA
rnacentral:rRNA from 1 species